GACCGCUGCCACACUUGGCAUCCUUCCCUCCCCGUCCACAAAAAGAUGCCAUUUCCAUGAACACAUCCUUCACAAGCUCACCCAAAGCUUGUUAGGCUUUGGGUAUCUUCUUGAGAUCAACUACUCCGAGGCUAUCAAUUGAGAUCUCUUCUUUGACAGUGUGCUGCGCCCGAGUCCUUCAGAGCUCUCGAAUGGCUCCAGCCUUCAGAGGAAGAAGAAAGGCUUGCUGGCGACCUCGACUUCGACGUCAGCAGAAGAACUCGGAGCCAUCACGACGCCCCACGGAUGAUGUCUCCUCGAAACAAGCCAUGUCGGAUUUGGAAGAGAAGAGAGCAAUCGACAUCGCAGCUGCAGGAUCCUCAACCCCAAAGGCCAAGACCUCCCGGAUACCGGAGCACCUCAGCUGCCCACCGGCGCCUAAAAAGCGACGGGUCACCGCCAUGCGCUGGUCCGAGAACACACCUCCCGUCCCCUUCUUCACCUCGCCGGACCUCGAUCUCUUCUUCCUCUACGCCCUACGGGAGAUCUCACUGUAGACCCUUCUCAGGCCGAAACACUGCAUCGCCAUUGAUCUUUCCCUUCUGUCUUUGUUGCUGAGGUUGGUUUUCUAGGGUUUGGUGAGCUUGUUUUAUGCUUCACAGCUACUUUUUAUAGCUGAGAAGCCCGAGUUUGUGCAUCUUUUCAGUUCCCUGUGUGCAGUAUCGAUCUGGUUGUGAAGAGAAUGCUGCUUGUUGUUCCUCAUUCGUCUUCGUCUUCAUCUUCCAUGUCUAGUGCUGGCUUUCUUGACCUCCUUUAACUUUGGAAGGUUCUCAUCAUCGUGGUCGCCAGUUCAUUGGACAGGAAGGGGAGAGAGGAUCUGCAGGUUAAAGGCCACUCCUGCAGGCGUGACAAAAGGAGAUCUUUUGGUUUCAACGUGGAUGAUUGUGUUUGGGUGUCAUGGGAGACCCUACCAUCGGGGAACAGGAUCACACCACGGAGAACAACACUGCUUUGACAUGCAAGUGAUCCCAAUGCUCCUGUUCUUCCUGACAUUCCCCAUCGACCAGUCCUUCCAUGCACCAGUGUGUCCUGUGACGAUCCAACACAAAGAAACAACUG